UACGGAGGGUGCAAGCGUUAUCCGGAUUCAUUGGGUUUAAAGGGUGCGUAGGUGGGUCUGUAAGUCAGUGGUGAAAUCUCCGGGCUUAACCUGGAAACUGCCAUUGAUACUAUAGCUCUUGAAUUUUCUGGAGGUAAGCGGAAUAUGUCAUGUAGCGGUGAAAUGCUUAGAUAUGACAUAGAACACCAAUUGCGAAGGCAGCUUGCUACAGGAACAUUGACACUGAGGCACGAAAGCGUGGGGAUCAAACAGG
rnacentral:rRNA from 1 species